GCUCCUCCGCCUGCCGUAUCUCCUCAUGCAGGUUGUACAGUAAUACUACUAUAGUACUACUAUAAUACUACUAUAAUAACCUUGUCUCGUAGCUCCUCCGCCUGCCGUAUCUCCUCAUGCAGGUUAUACAGUAAUACUACUAUAGUACUACUAUAAUACUACUAUAAUAACCUUGUCUCGUAGCUCCUCCGCCUGCCGUAUCUCCUCAUGCAGGUUGUACAGUAAUACUACUAUAGUACUACUAUAAUACUACUAUAAUAACCUUGUCUCGUAGCUCCUCCGCCUGCCGUAUCUCCUCAUGCAGGUUGUACAGUAAUACUACUAUAGUACUACUAUAAUACUACUAUAAUAACCUUGUCUCGUAGCUCCUCCGCCUGCCGUAUCUCCUCAUGCAGGUUAUACAGUAAUACUACUAUAGUACUACUAUAAUACUACUAUAAUAAC